rfam:Lottia gigantea unplaced genomic scaffold LOTGIsca_64, whole genome shotgun sequence.
GUCUACGGCCAUACCACGUUGAAAGCACCAGUUCUCGUUCGAUCACUGGUUAGUACUUGGAUGGGUGAUCGCCUGGGAACACCGAGUGCUGUAGACU